UCGGAACAAUAUUCGCAGAAGGCACGUGUAAAGGGCAUCUGGACCGGUUGCGGUACUCGGAGAUGGAGUCGCCGGUUUUUCCGACUCCCCUUUUUGGUUGCUUCCUUUCUCAAGUAAAACCCGGGUAGGACGGUUUUUCCACUCACGAAAGUCUGCUCUUCUUUUUUUCUUCCCUUCGGCCUUCCUUCUUCGCCUCUGUUUUCCUUCCUCCUUUGCUCAUUUCGCCUUUUAUUUUCCAUUAAUUUUUAAAUUUCCUAUACCUGCCCUUCAAAUCUCUCUUCCAAUUCUUCACUAAUUCGAUAACAUAAUUCUAUAUAUUAAAUUUUUCUUCUCGUUUGGCAACGGAUUUACUCCUCGGUUUCUUAUAAUUAUUUAAAUACCUGUUCAGCAUUCAAAUUUCCUUUUUGAAUUCAUUUCGUUCUGUGCGAUUAAUUAUCUUUUAUUGUACCAUGCCCACACCUUAUCUUCUUUAUCUUUUUAGCUUAAUUUUUCUUAGAUUUUAGUCUCCUUUUCCUACCCAUUUGCUCAAUUUUUCUUUGUUGAACAAGGACAUAAUGAGAUUAUCGAUAUGUUUUCCCCAGAGCUUUCUUGAACUAUGCGCUUGUUUGGAUUUCUUCUUUAUGCGCUUGUUUUGCAAGGAAAGUUUCAAGAAAAAGGAAGAAAGGGGCAGAUCAGUUAGUACAAGGCAUUGGAAAACAUAACAGGUCUUCGAAUUCCACUCCUCAUAUAAUUGGAUAUGAUGCAUGCAUGUAUACUGGCUAAAAUGAUAGACGUGAAAUAGACUGCGGCGUCCCACAAUAGAAAUCAACGAAAUCUUGACCCCUUGGCGUACCUGCAAGUGGAUGGAGCGGGGCACGCACGCGCGCAGUCACUCGAGAGCGCGUGCGAAUGCGAGCAACCCGGCGAACAGAUACGGAGGACGCGGACAGAACGCGAGAGCCUCUCGUUUCCUCUCACUCUCAUCCUCGGGAAUCGUCGCGUACGGCGGAUGGAAGAGGACGCGCGUCGCAUGGGCAUUGACCACACGCACGUGUGGUGGAGGGAAUUGGGAACGUUUCUCGCACGGACGAAUCUCUUUCGGUUACGGCACCGGACGUCGCCGGUUCCCGCGGUUCCUGCGUCCGGUUUUUGUCUUCAGCUCUAACCAACUUGCUCUCGCGACACUGAAAUUUCCUUAUUUUUGAGGAAUUUCCAUAUUCAUUGGUAUGUUUGGUUUAAAUGGAGGUUUCAUUUUGUAGCAUUGUUGUUAGCUGCUUAACUAUUUGUUGGAGAUCGAAUGAGUAGAAUUGAGGUGCUUUUGAGCCUAGGAAUAAGCUUUUCUGUGCAAGGAAGUGGGUUUAUGGAAUACGUUUACAUUGUUAUAGUUUCCUUCUCUUUUUUCCCCCUCUCCUUUGACUACGGAAACAGGCUUAGUGAUAAAUAUUUUGUGGGAAGUGCUCAACUUUUGGUUCUCUGAUAGCCGCUGCAGGUACAGCCAGAAAACUAAAAGGCGAGAGAAAGGGGAAGAAUGUGAGAUAAAGAGGAGAAGUACACAUGAGAAUCAUCUCUAAAGAGGGAGACUUUCAGGGCUCAGAAGCACAGACAUGCAGAUUGGAUGGUUUAUGACAUGAGAGAGACCUCGACCCGGCCGGUACGACCAAUUCGUACUCCCGAACUCUUCGUCGACGGGCACUGGCCCUCAUCUAUAUAAGUUUUUUUCGGGUGAACUCUCCAGGUAAGUACUCUCAAGCCCGUUUGCAGUGCCACUCUGACAACACCUUCAUUGUUUCUUGAGAGUCCGUUUGAGUUAGGCAUCGGAUGGUUCCUUGCUAGACACUCUUCGGCAAGAGGACUUUCUUGUCUUUGUUGUUUCACGCCAAUUCUAGCUAUGGAGUAAAGGUUCGAGCAUAGUCUCCUCCUUCCAAUACUAUCUCAGGAGCAACCAACACUGUAGCCAUUGUCAUCCGAGCAUGGCGGCCAUCACAUUUUGGAGAUAUAUCACAAUCUUUAGCCGAUCUUUAUGGCUUAAGCAACUGAUCAUCCGAGCACUUCAAUAGCCCAGCUAUCUCGGCACCUCAAUUAGGCCAAUUCCCAACGGCAACGCUUAUGUUCUGCUUUCAAAUGAUGCUUUUUAUUUUUUUUUGACUUUAGCGUUUGAAACUAGUCAUGUAAAUUUAAUAAAGUGAGAAAAUGAUUGCUAAUGGGCUUUUCUAUGUGGGUUCUCUUCUAUCAUUCGGUCA